AGAGAAAGGAUCCAAAGGGAUCGCAUUGAUCCUGAUUAAGCUGAUUUAUUCCUUAACAAUUGUUCUUUUGUUCUUCUUCUUUGUCAUUGAAAGAUGGGGAAAAGAAACAAAACCCCCCAAAGUUUUUGGUUUCUUUUUCCGGAUCAUGCGAUCUCUUUGGAUUCAUCCUU
rnacentral:pre_miRNA from 1 species